AACGAACGCUGGCGGCAGGCUUAACACAUGCAAGUCGAACGGUUGUAGCAAUACAGCAGUGGCAGACGGGUGAGUAACACGUGGGAACCUUCCUAGGGGUACGGAACAACUCAGGGAAACUUGAGCUAAUACCGUAUACGUCCGUGAGGAGAAAGUUUUAACGCCCCUAGACGGGCCCGCGUAGGAUUAGGUAGUUGGUGAGGUAACGGCUCACCAAGCCUACGAUCCUUAGCUGAUCUGAGAGGANGAUCAGCCACACUGGGACUGAGACACGGCCCAGACUCCUACGGGAGGCAGCAGUGGGGAAUCUUGGACAAUGGGCGCAAGCCUGAUCCAGCCAUGCCGCGUGAGUGAAGAAGGCCUU
rnacentral:rRNA from 1 species